rnacentral:lncRNA from 1 species
GGAGAAACAGCUUCUUGGGCAUGCAUAUUAAGAGACAAAAAUGGCGAAGUAUGAUCCUUCCAGGUACAUUCCACUGGAAAAAGGAAGAAAGCCUCAGAUGGGCAUGCCUGUAACUCCCUAAACACACUGCAUGAGCUCACUUCUCAAGGGUAAGGAGGGCUCUGUGCAUGAGGGCAGCCCACUGUAAGGGAAGAAUCAUGGUAAAGAGGCGAGCUUAUGAAAGUCCCAGGAUCACAGUUAAAUGGGGCACUUGUCCGCUCUUUAACCUUUCACGUGCACGCUUGGGUCUCUUCCAAGCGCACCUGACUUUCUUUCCUGUUCUAAGGCCUUUUAAAAUAAACUUCUAUUCCUGCUGUGGAACUUGUCUCUGUCUCUUUUUCUGAUUUUGUCCCUCAGUCGAAUUAUUUCUUCUGAGGAGGCAAGGACUGAAGUUGCUACAGACCCCUAAGGACAGGCCAUCGGUAACACUGGGUAAAUCAGAUCUCUUCCACGGGUCUAUCAAUGAGAAGAAAGUGCCAACUGAAAACUUUUAGAAAAUACCCAGUUUACUCAAGGAAAAUAACAUGCAUUGAAGGUGAUUGCUCAAUAGAGAGAAGUUGAAACAGCAGACUAAUUGCCUGUUUGUGACACCCAUGUAAUCAACUUGGCCUAUAGGUUGAGGUUGAUCUGAAAGAUAGGACUAUUUGUGAUCCAGAAUCAAAAGAGUCAAGAAAAGUCUGAGAAUUUCAUCCUUGGAGCAGAAAGUGAAAGUGUUCUGGAGCCAAAAGUAGUAACAAAGAUGGAGGGCAAGAGAUCAUUGGAUUAAAUCAUAUUGGCAGACCAAAUUUCAGAAGAAUCAACACACCAGAGACAAGAAGAACUUGAAGUUAAAGCAAAGUUCCCUUAUACUGGAGAAUUCUUCUGCAUUCUCUGCUCAAAUAUGAUGCCCCCCACCAUGAAGAAGAGAUUCACCUUGGAUAUAACCACAAUUUACCCCCCUCAACAGAUCCCAGGAGGCUGCUGCUUACCUACUAGGGAGCCCACCUGCCUCGCUUUCUGCUUCCCCAGUCCUAUCCAUCUUGCUCCAUAUGAACUUUCCCAGGCCCAAGCUGCAGAUAUGAGAAUGAUAGCUACUCAUCAAACCUUUUUCCUUGUCUUGUUGAGCACACAGCUGGACCCCAUUUCAAAGCCUCUGUUGAGGUUAGAUAUGGUCAUGUGCCUGAGUCCUAGCCAAUAGAAUGUAACUGGGAACUGUUGUGUGUCUCUUUGAAAUCUGGCUGAUGAAUACCCACCCCCAUGCUACCCUCCAUGUUGUUUCCCUUUGUACUGACUUGAUGCAAUUGAGCCCAGGAAGCUUCAAAGCUAUAUGCUGAGGAUGGAUUUGAUAUCACAGAGGAAGCCUGGGUCCCUACAUCACUGCUUUGAGAACUGCUGCCCACCUUUUGGACCACCCAUUUUGGACUUAACAUGAGCAAGAAAUAAACUUUUCUGUUUGAACCAUUAUAUAUGUUUGGAUUUGUAUGUUGCAGCAGCUACAAUUACCUUAACCAAUAUGGACCCCCUGAGAAAAGUUGUUGGACCAAUAUGCAUUUAAGCUCAGGUUUCAAUUUUUCACACAUGAAAAAUUAUAAAUACAUAUAACUUUGAGCUUCUUUAGGAAAGAACGAAUACCCUAACUGGCUUGGUAUUCUCCCAGUAAAUAGUUCUUGAAAGGGUAUUUCAUAUAGUAGAAAUUCAAUGACUGCCUGUUCAAAAUGUUUAAAUGUUCAAGUCUUAAGAAAAAAAUGUCAACUACGAGAAGAUUAAGGAUUCAUUUACAUAGUGAGAGCUAAAUGAAGUCUUACUGAAUAAAUAAAUGAAUGAGUGAAUAAAUGGUAUAUUUGAUGAAAAUAAGUCUCACCUUAAGAUUCACAGAGAAAUUUGCUUAUCUGUAAGAUAAGGAUUGUGAUACCUUGCGCUUUCUACCUCACACGAAAUGUGUUAGUAUCAAAUCAGAGAAUUUACUUUCAAGCAUUUACUUUCUAAAUUACCAAGUGCUAGACACAUGUGAGUUCUCCAGUAUAAUUUAGAUAGAUUACUUUAUGUUUUGUCAGUAUGUUGACAGUUUAUUGAUAAUGGAGUUGAAACUCAAGGAAGGAGAAUAAUCUGUGAAGCACUUCUGAACAUCUUGGAGAUUUUUUUAAAAGUUAUAUUGGUGACCUGAAGAUUUUAGACCUCUUAAAAUUCUGAAUUACUAUUAACUUGCAGAUAAAAUAAUGCCAUUAUUUACCACUGGACUCAAGAGAACAUCUUUGUGUAUUAUUGGUACCCUGAAAUUAUAACUAAUCAUAUCCCCUCUGUAUCUCCCUAAGAUGUAUCUGCCACUUCUUAGGUUCCUACUUAGUGAUUAGAGUCAGAAAAGCAUUAAUCAACACUGCUGUGCCAAAUACUAUGGAAAUUCAUUUAACCAUAUUACAUAAUUGAAAUGUCAGAAUGUUUAAACACUUUCUGUCAUAUGAAAAUAUAUUGGAAAUGUCUAGAACCAAGCUGGCAGAGAAAAACACAAGGAAUGUUCUUAUAAAACAAAUGAGAUCUAGCUGGGCAUGGUGGCAUGUGCCUGUAGUUCCAGCUGCUCAGGAGGCUGAGGUGGGAGGACUGCUUGAGCCCAGGAGUUUGAGGCCAGCCUGGACAACAUAAUGAGAUCUCCAUCACUAAAAAUAAAUUUUAAAAUAAUGGAUAAGAAAGAUUUAAUGAUCCAUGGAAUGGUUGUUUGUGGGCUUUUGGUCAGAAGCCUGAGAGUGGGGAUUAGACAAAAGUGGCUGUCCAAUGUGUCAGUGGUGAUGCCAAUCUCUUGCCAGCUGAAAUUGAGAAGUAUAUGCAGCAGGCUUCAAUGACUGCCCUCACUGCUGAAAAGAAUAUAUCUUGUAUUGCCUGGGCAGGUGACCUUCACCAGGGGUUAAGAGAAUUCCUGUGAGUUCAUUGUGAGACUACCUCUCUUUCAUUUCCCAGUCCUUCAUCAGAAAAUUCAAGAGGCUCCUAUCACAUCCUAGAAUAAAGAUUUCCUUUAUGCAGGCUCCAUCCUCCAUCAGUAGGAGUCAAGUGGUAGCCCCAAAUUCUGCAUAUUUCUCUCACUCCUUUCAAACUGUCCAAUACUUACUAGCACUUUCUUCUUUGGAACAUCAUGUCCUAUAUUUCUGUCAUUUCAGUCACAAGAAGUGUAGGGCCCUAGAUCGUCCCCUAUCCCUUGGCCUUUAAUCUCCUUAUGGCUCCAAAAAUUGCCUUUUCUGCCACCAUCUCCCUUCUGCCCCAUCUCCUGAAAGAACUGGAACUUUCUGUCAAGCAUCUAUCAAUUAUCAACCAAAUUCCCUACAUCCCCUCACAUUUCCUUAUUUUAUUUGCUGGAACUAAAACUCACCUCUCCUCAAAGGACCCUGCUUGCCUUGCAGCCUCCUCAAGGGGUGGCUGUUUUCUCUCCCAGACCCCUCAAAGCACUGAGUCUGGAUGUGGGGUAGUGUCCUCCUCCCUCCUCAUUGCUUCUUCCAGAUCAUUAUUCCUCAUUUCUCCCUAAGACUACACAGUUUGAAUGACUUCAAUAUUGCCAAACCUCAAAGUGUAUUUGAGUCUUCAUUUUACUUGAUAGAUCAGCAGCAUUUUACACAGUUGAUCACUCUCUUUCUGCUGAGACAGUUUCUUCACUUGACUUCCAGGACACCACACUCUCCGGCUUGCUUCCUGCUUCACUAGUUGCUCCUUCUCUGUUCCUUUGCUACUUCCUUCUCAUCCCACUUAUCUCUAAGUGAGAGCCCCUGCACUUAAUCUUUGAACCUUGCCUCUUCUCUGGAUACACUUGCUGCCUUAACAAUCUCAUUUAAUCUCAUGAUUUUCUAUGCUUUCUAUAUGUUGAUGACUCUACAAGUUAUAGCUUUAUUCCAGAACUUUCUCCUGAACUUGAGAUGUAUGUAUCCAAGGGCUCACCUGACAUCUUCAUCUGGAUAUUAAUAGGUAUUUCAAAAUUAACACAUGAAAAACUGAGCUCCUGAUUUUUUCUUCAGAUCUUCUUCUCUUGAAGCCCCUCCAACCCACACCAAUCUCAGCAAAUGACAAUCCCAAUCUUUCAGUCAUUCAGGCCAAAAACUUUGAAGGCAUCCUUGACUCCUUUCUUUCUCUCACACUGCACAUCAAAUUUAUCAGAAAACCCUAAUGGAUCCUCUUUCAAAAUAUAUGUAUGGUAUCUGACCAGUUCUUACUGGCUUUACAACUACAACCCUGGCAACUGUUAUCUGUUACUUGGAUUGCUGCAAUAACUUCCUAACUGAUCCUUCUACUUCUGUCCUUGCCUCCUUCAUUUCUAUUCUAAAAAAAAGCAGCCAAAGUAAUUCUGUUAAACAUAAGCAGAAUAUAUCACUCGUUUGAUUAUAACCCUACAAUGGCUUCCUAGCUCACACUGUGUAAAAGUUAAAGUCCUACAAUAACCCUUCAAAGUUUUUGGCUAAGUAUGUAAGAUAUCUAGUGUGAUAGCAUUAAGUGCUGAGGUGGAAAAUUAAAGCAGGGAAUGGAAAUAGAGAGCAUCAAAGAUAGAGUGAUGAUUGCAUUUUAAAUAGACUUGAAGGAGAUAAUAGAGUAUGCCAUACAGAUAUUUAGGGAAAUAAUAUUCUAUGCAGAGAAAAGAGCAGGUGCAAAGGCCCUAAGGCAGAAGCAUGCUGGAAUAUACAAAGAACAGCAAGAAAGCUUUGCGCACUGGAGUGGCAGGAGAUGAGGUGAGACAGGCCUAUUGAUAAUGUCUCUUUCACUAAAAUAUAACAUGCAUGUGGAUAGAAAUGUUUGGCCUAUUUUAUCUACUGUUUUAUAACUAGAACUCAACUCUCAGCUAGCAUUCUACUCACACUGACCAUGUGUUCUGAGUUACAGUGGCAUUUUAUGUUACAGAAUCUUUUUUUGAGACCGGGUCUGGCCCUGUUGCCCAGGCUGAAGUGCAGUGGCGUGAUCUUGGCUCACUGCAACCUCUGCCUCCCAGGCUCAAGCCAUCCUCCCACCUCAGCCUCCCGAGUAGCUGGGACUACGCGCACACCACCAUGCCUGGCUAGUUUUUAUAUUAUUUGUAGAGACAGGGUUUCGCCAUGUUGGCUAGGCUGGUCUUAAACUUCUGAGCUCAAGUGAUCCACCUGCCUUGGCCUCUCAGAGUGCUGGGAUUAUGGGGUGUGAACCACCACACCCAGCCUAUGUUACAUAAUUUCGGUUUUUAGUGUCCAUAAUUACGGUCUGAAAUAGGUCAAGGGGACCCCAUGAUGGUCCUGGGAGAUGAGCAUUGAGACUACAAUGAUAGAAUGGAUCAGACCAUGCUUGAAGGACCUCAGAAGGUCUAGUCAAACUGUCAACUAACCCUCAUAGUUUGCAGAGCUGCUGGGAGACAAAAUCAUGUCCAGAACUCUGGAGCCACAGGAUUCCUUUGGGUCCCCAGAACUUCUUUGGAAAAGAUUAUAAUGGCUUUAACAUCAUUAACGUUUAUUGGGUUUUUACAAUGUAACAGGCAUGGUUCUAUGCACUUUACACAACUAAUUCAUUGAAUUCUCUCAACAACCUAAUGAGGUCAGAACUAUUAUCCUCAUUUUUGAUGUGAGAAAACUGAAGUACAGAGAGGUUAUGUGGCUUCCAAAGUCACAUAGUUUAAAAGUGGCAGAGACUGGAUUCAAAUGUAAACAAUAACCACUGCCGGGGUACCAUGGGAAGUUGUGGUCCAGACACUAAAUCAAGCUGCACCCAAGGUGUCCUAAUCCUACUCCUUCUUUCUCCACUGGAUGAGAGAAAAGGAGCAGGACCUAAGCCUCCUGAUUUUGUGGGAAUUUGCUUUUCUGUUCCAUGUUUCUCCCUCCGCUGCCCUUCUAUGCAUUGAAAUGAUGGGCAGGGGAACAUUUUCCGCCUCUGGAGGCAGGCGAGCAAAGACUCGAUGCACUUCCCCACCUCUUGCACUGGCUCAUACUUUAAUGGCUGGAAGUUUAAAAUCACAUCCCAAGCUUCUUGGAACUCAAAAUUCAGUUAUCUGACUCAGUAAAAUGUAGCUUUCUCACUUAAAAGGAUUUGCCCAAGGGGCCUCUGGGAUUUCAAAUAUACUUAAAAGCAACAACUGUGUUGAAUCAUAGAAUCAUAAGGGAUUGCAUUUCCGCUGGAGAACAGACAGGAUGUUUUAAACAGAGGGGGAAAUGUUUGAAGUUCGCCAAGCUUUGAGUUUCAUCCCACCCACCACAUCUGAAAACUAUCUGAGUCAUUUGAUGAAGGCAAAAUACAGCUGGGCUCCCUUAUUCUUAGUGUUAUUGUGGCCUACCAUCUUGACAUUGUGAUGCUAUCUGUGCAAGAACAUUUCACCUACAUCUACCAACCCUUUUCUAAACUGGAAUCAGGAAGAGUCUGUUCUCCAAAGUCUAUCUGGAGUGGAGUGGGCUGAGGGUGGUGUGGAGUAAAUAUUCUUAUAGACAGAAGGCAAAUACAGCUCUAGACAAAACAGUGAAGAGAAACAGGUUUGUCCAUGGCCCUGAGCUGCUGUCAAGGAGGUUACAGGGCCUUUAUCUCUUUCAUGGUGCUGCAGUAUUGUGUAGUGUGUUUAUGAACGUAGAUUUGGGAGUCAAAAAGAUACACGUUUAAUCUUGACCCUACCCACUUAUUUACUCACUGUGAAUCCUUGGGCAGAUUACUUAACCUUUCUAAUU